rnacentral:rRNA from 1 species
UACAGAGGUCCCAAGCGUUGUUCGGAUUCAUUGGGCGUAAAGGGUGCGUAGGUGGCGGGGUAAGUUGGAUGUGAAAUCUCGGGGCUCAACCCCGAAACUGCAUUCAAUACUGCCCUGCUCGAGUACUGGAGAGGAGAUCGGAAUUUACGGUGUAGCAGUGAAAUGCGUAGAUAUCGUAAGGAAGACCAGUGGCGAAGGCGGAUCUCUGGACAGUUACUGACACUGAGGCACGAAGGCCAGGGGAGCAAACGGG